rnacentral:rRNA from 1 species
AUACGGAGGGUGCAAGCGUUAUUCGGAAUCACUGGGCGUAAAGGACGCGUAGGCGGGUUGGCAAGUCAGAUGUGAAAUCCUACAGCUUAACUGUAGAACUGCAUUUGAAACUGCUAACCUAGAGUCUGGGAGGGGAAGAUGGAAUUAGUUGUGUAGGGGUAAAAUCCGUAGAUAUCACUAGGAAUACCGAAAGCGAAGGCGAUCUCCUGGAACAUAACUGACGCUAAGGCGUGAAAGCGUGGGGAGCAAACAGGAUUAGAAACCCUAGUAGUCC